rnacentral:rRNA from 1 species
UACGUAAGUGGCGAGCGUUAUCCGGAAUUACUGGGCGUAAAGGGCUCGUAGGUGGCCAACUAAGUCAGACGUGAAAUCCCUCGGCUUAACCGGGGAACUGCGUCUGAUACUGGAUGGCUUGAGUUUGGGAGAGGGACGCGGAAUUCCAGGUGUAGCGGUGAAAUGCGUAGAUAUCUGGAGGAACACCGGUGGCGAAGGCGGCGUCCUGGACCAACACUGACACUGAGGAGCGAAAGCCAGGGGAGCAAACGGG